UACGAAGGUGGCAAGCGUUAUUCGGAAUUACUGGGCAUAAAGGGCCCGCAGGCGGCCCGGCAAGUUGAUGGUGAAAAUCCCCCGGCUCAACUGGGAACGGGCCGUCAAUACUACCGGGCGUCGAGUGUUGGAGGGGUGAGUGGAAUUCCUGGUGGAGCGGUGGAAUGCGUAGAUAUCAGGAGGAACGCCGGAGGCGAAAGCG
rnacentral:rRNA from 1 species